rnacentral:rRNA from 1 species
CAAUAGCGUAUAUUAAAGUUGUUGCAGUUAAAACGCUCGUAGUCGGAUUUCGGGGCGGGCCGACCGGUCUGCCGAUGGGUAUGCACUGGCCGGCGCGUCCUUCCUUCCGGAGACCGUGCCUACUCUUAACUGAGCGGGUUCGGGAGACGGAUCGUUUACUUUGAAAAAUUAGAGUGUUCAAAGCAGGCCUACGCUUGAAUACAUUAGCAUGGAAUAAUGGAAUAGGACUUUGGUGCUAUUUUGUUGGUUUAUGGGACCGAAGUAAUGAUUAACAGGGACAGUUGGGGCCGUUUAUAUUUCGUUGUCAGAGGUGAAAUUCUUGGAUUUACGAAAGAUAAACUUCUGCGAAAGCAUUCGGCAAGGAUGUUUUCAUUGAUCAAGAACGAAAGUUAGGGGAUCGAAGAUGAUCAGAUACCG